CUUGUCAAUCUCCUGAAAUAUGUUCAACCAAUAUGGACCCAAUCAUGUUAUUGGAUUAAAAUAAUUUUUUAAAAAGGGCAUGAUACAAACUCUCCUCAACCAGAGAGUUUUAAUUCUUCCCAAGGUCUAAGGUACACGGGUACAAAGAGCAAAAAUCCUCAAAGGGCAUCAAUCAUUAUUUACUAGUGGUCAGACUGUAUCUAAUUAUGGAGCAGAAUUAUUCAACAGCGUGCAUUCAUUUGUAAAGUAUAAAAAGCUGGGCAUGGUGGCUCAUGCCUGUAAUCUCAGCACUUUGGGGGGCCAAGGCAGGAGGAUCUCUUCAGGCCAGGAGUUCUGAGACCAGGUUGGGCAGCAUAGCAAGACCCCAUGUCUACAAAAAAUAUUUUUUAAAAAAAUAGCUGAAGCCUGACGCAGUGGCUCACGCCUGUAACCCCAACACUUUGGGAGGCUAAGGAGGGUGGAUCACCUGAGGUCAGGAGUUUGAGACCAGCCUGGCCAACAUGGUGAAACCCUGUCUCUACUAAAAAUACAAAAAUUAGCCGGGCAUGGUGGCACGUGCCUGUCGUCCCAGCUACUCGGGAGGCUGAGGCAGGAGAAUCUGUUGAACCCGAGAGGCAGAGUUUGCAGUGAGCCAAGGUCACGCCACUGCACUCCAGCUUGGGCGACAGAGUGAGACUCCAUCUCAAAAAAGUAAAUACAUAAAUAUAAAAAUAAUAAAAAUUAGCUGGGUGUAGUCCUAGCUAUUCAGUAGGCUGAGGCGGAGGACUGCUUGAGCCAAGAGUUCAAGGCUGCAGUGAGCUAUGAUUGUGCCCGCUAUACUCCAGCAUGGGCAACAGAGUAAGACCUUGUCUCUUAAAAAUAAACUAGAAUACUUUUGUAAUGGCUGGUAAUUUUAUAAGAACUAGGACUGGCAAAGGUUAAAAAAAAAUCUAACUUCCUGGCUCAAAAUAAAAUUUCCUGGGUCAACAAAGACUUUGCUGUCAAUCCUGUAGGUUAGAUGUGCAUUCCUUUUAACUAACAUUUAAAAUUGACCACUUUGCUCUCCUUAAAAAGGAAUCUUCUCUUAAACUUCUCUGACAUCACACUAUUUCUAUUUCUCCGGCCACUCCUUGGUCUCAUUUUGUUUUCUUCCUCUGACUGUCUCCAGGCUCUUUUCUCUCCUGAGCCUGCACCAGGUGAUUUCAUGUACUCUCAUGGCUUCAAAUGACCAUCUGUAUUUUGGUAAUUCCUUUUCUUGUAGUUUCAGCCUAGAUCUCUCUUCCAAGUUCCAGAUACACAUCUAGCUGACAUCUCUUGAGUGUUCAAAAUAGCAUCUCAAGCUAGCGUGUCCAGAUCUGCAUGCAUCUGCUUUCCCCAGAAUUUGUCUUGUAUGCCUCAUGUCAGCAAAUCACGCUACUCAAUUGUGCAAGCCAGAAACCUAGAUGUCAUUCUGAAUCUUCCAACUCCCUCAUGCUCUGCAUCCAGAAAUCACAAAGUUCUUUUGGUUUUACCAACUGUAUCUCAAAUGCAGCCACUUCUCACCUUGCCCACUGCCACCAUUCUAGUACAGACCAUGAUAAUUUCCAACCUAGAUUCUUGCACCAACCUCCUGUGUUUCCCCUUCUAAUUGAGUCUCCACAUUACCCAUUAUCUGCAUAAACUCAAAUCUCUUAUCUAUUCUCCUAUCCUUAAAAUUCUUUGAAUGUUCCCCAUUUGCCCUCAGGAUAACUCUGUACAAUAGCUAACAAGUCUAUUUCAGCCUUGUCUUCACAUCUCUGCACUCUGCCCCCAAGGUGGCUGUCUAUACUUUUCUUUAGUUCUGUAAAGAGCCCAUCCUGUGCCUCGCUUCUUGCCCUUGCACAUGCAGUCUCCUCAGCCUGGACAAUCUCUUCCCCCUUUCCCCACCACAGAUGUCACCCCAUUUCACCUGGCUAGUUUCUGCUCAUACUUUAGGUCUUGUUUGGACAUUAUUUUCUCCUGGAAACUUUUCUUCACAACCCUCCCAUGGUAUGUGCCAUCCUAAUACUCUGUUUCCCCAUUAAUGCACUUUCACACUGUUUACUUGUUUGUAUCCCCCACUGGACUGCAAGCUACUCAUGACUUGUGUCUUUUUUUUUUUUUUUUUUGGACUUGUGUCUUUUUCAUUGUUUAAUCCUCUGAUACAUGCAGUGUGCCAUAAAUGUGUGAAUAAUGACAAACUGUAGUCACAUGCCUUUUUAUUUUCUGAUGUUUUGACAUCUGGGUUCUUGCUAAGACUUCUCUUCCUAGGACUAAUUCCUAGAGAUUGCAAAAGACUCCCAUUGGAGCAUGCCUUACAUAUACACCCCAGCCAAUCCAAAGCCUGUAUCCCCAACUACCUCCUUUAACAAACUCUCAUAAGCCAAGCCAAGAUUCCCAUCCCCUAAUCACCCCAGGGCCAGCCUCUCACCUGAGAGCCUGCUGAAAUUAUUCAAACUAGCCAGUCUUAGAAGCUGCUUACCCUGCCUCGCCCAUUCCUUCCCAUGACAACCACAGUAAAGUCUCACCCAUGCUUUCCCCUCAUUCCCUUCACCUCCUGGUCAACCCUAGUGCUUCCCUGUGUGGGAUGCCAUGCCUCCUGCUUCUAGGAAACUGUAAUGUUUUACCCAGUUAAAAACAUCUUCCUUCGUGACAUUCAUUUCUGUGUCUCUGUGUCUUACCAUAUGCUAUGGUUUGAGUGUGUCCCUCAAAAGUUCAUAAAAUGGAAAUUGAAUUCCCAUUUUAACAGUGUUGAGAGGCAGGACGUUGGAGAGGUGAUUAGGUCACAAGGGCUCCACACUCAUGAAUGAAUGAAUGCCAUUACUGCGGGAGGGGGUUUCUGAUGAAAAUGAUGAGUUUGCCCCCUCCGCCUCUUGCUCUCUGUUGCACGUGCUUCCUUACCACACGAUGCCUUCCACCAUGAGAUGACCCUCACCAGAUGCUGGAAGCAUGCUCUUAGACUUCCCAGUCUUCAGAACCACGAGCCAAAUAAACUCUUCUUUGUAUAUCCAGUCUGUGGUAUUCUGAUAUAGCAGUAGAAACAGACUAAGCCACCAUAUCUGAUUAAAACAGUCCAGAUUUUUAAAACACACAUUUUACUAAAGGCUAUGUGCUAUUAUUCCUCACAAUAGUCUAAAGUAUUAAACUUUAUUAUUCCCACUUUAGAGAAGAAAAAACUGAAAGCCUAAAGCCAAGUUGGUAAAGCUGUGGAGCAGUGGAGCUGAAAGUAAACUCAAAUCCCAGAGCUGUUUUCCUUUUAAAAAAAAUUGUGUAUGUUUAAAGUGUACAUGAUGUUUUGAUAUACAUAGUGAAAAGAUUAGGACAUGCAGACAAUAUAUCCAUCAUCUACCACUGUUACCUCUUGUUUUGUGUGGUAAAAGCACCUAAAAUCUACGUUCUUUGCAAAACUUCAAUAUGCAAGAUUAAUAACUGUAGCUUUGUGGCACAUUGGAUCUCUAGACUUAUUGAUCCUACAUAACUGCAAGUUUGUACCCUUUGACCUACAUCUCCCCAUUUCCUCCUCCUCUCUGCCCUUGGUAACUACUGUUGUACACUAUGUAUGUGACUUUUUUUGGAUCCCAUAUAUAAAUGAGAUCAUGCAGUAUUUUUCGGUGUCUGGCUUUUUUCGCUUAGCAUAAUGUCCUCCAGUUUGAUUCAUGUUUUUGCAAAUGGAAUAUUUCCUCUUU
rnacentral:lncRNA from 1 species